rnacentral:rRNA from 1 species
UACGUAGGCAGCGAGCGUUGUUCGGAAUUACUGGGCGUAAAGAGUGUGUAGGCGGUGUUCCCAGUCUGUUGUGAAAUCUCCCGGCUUAACUGGGAGGGUGCAGCGGAAACUAGAAUGCUAGAGGGUGGGAGAGGUAAGCGGAAUUCCUGGUGUAGCGGUGAAAUGCGUAGAUAUCAGGAGGAACACCUGUGGUGUAGACAGCUUACUGGACCACUUCUGACGCUGAGGCGCGAAAGCUAGGGGAGCGAACGGG